rnacentral:lncRNA from 1 species
AAGACUUUCAACUUGCUAUUUUGAAAUAAGUGCAGACUCACAGAGAGAAGUUACAAGAACUGUAGAACACAUUCCUAGAUGCUGUUAGCCCAGAUUUGUUGGUUGCCAAUAUUUUUUUUAAACUAGCUUUCCCGUCCUUCCUCUGUAUUACAUGUUACGUUCUUUUGAACCACUUGAGAACAUGUUGGAAGAUCUCAUACCUCUUUAUCGCCAGAUAUUUUAUUUAGCACAUACACUUUUGAAUCCCAAGAAGUGCGUGCCUUGAUUCCUAGAGGCUCAUGGGCUGUAGCUUAAGAACCGCAGUCUGCAACUUCCCAGCUGUGACUUGGCUUUCCACACUGUGACUAAGGGCCCCUUCUCUCCCUCAGGAAGAGCCAGCAGCCAUGCCUGCCCUCCCAGGCCCAUCCGAUGCAGAGCUCCAGAGAAGCAUCUCCCCGGAACAGAGGAGCUGGGCAGCCUUCUCUACAUCUCCAUCUUCUCCUGGCACCCCCUUGUCCCCUGGAACCCCCUUUUCCCCUGGGACCCCUCCUGUCUUCCCAUGCCCCAUCUUCCCUAUCACUUCACCCUCAUGCCAUCCCUACCCGUUCUCACAGGUCUCUUCAAAUCCCUGUCCACAGGCCCCCAGCUCCCUACUUCCCUCCUCCUCCGGUGCUUCUCAGGUUCCAUUCCCAUCCCCUUCCCUUCCCACCAGCUCUCCCCUCCCAUUCUCUCCUAGUUAUCCCCAAGUCCCU